UACGGAGGGAGCUAGCGUUGUUCGGAUAUACUGGGCGUAAAGCGCACGUAGGCGGCGCAGCAAGUCAGGGGUGAAAUCCCGGAGCUCAACUCCGGAACUGCCUUUGAAACUGCAGUGCUAGAAUCCUGGAGAGGCGAGUGGAAUUCCGAGUGUAGAGGUGAAGUUCGUAGAUAUUCGGAAGAACACCAGUGGCGAAGGCGACUCGCUGGACAGGUAUUGACGCUGAGGUGCGAAAGCGUGGGGAGCAAACAGG
rnacentral:rRNA from 1 species